GAUGAACGCUGACAGAAUGCUUAACACAUGCAAGUCAACUUGAAUUUGGGUUUAUAACUUAGGUUUGGGUGGCGGACGGGUGAGUAACGCGUAAAGAACUUGCCUCACAGCUAGGGACAACAUUUAGAAAUGAAUGCUAAUACCUGAUAUUAUGGUUAUAGGGCAUCCUAUAAUUAUGAAAGCUAAAUGCACUGUGAGAGAGCUUUGCGUCCCAUUAGCUAGUUGGAGAGGUAACAGCUCACCAAGGCGAUGAUGGGUAGCCGGCCUGAGAGGGUAAACGGCCACAAGGGGACUGAGACACGGCCCUUACUCCUACGGGAGGCAGCAGUGGGGAAUAUUGGACAAUGGACCGAGAGUCUGAUCCAGCAAUUCUGUGUGCACGAUGAAGUUUUUCGGAAUGUAAAGUGCUUUCAGUUGGAAGAAAAAAAGACGGU
rnacentral:rRNA from 1 species